AUACUUUUAUAACAGUAUUUAUCUUUGAAGGUGUUAAGAUUGCUUACUGUGCUUACUGUGAAAAGAUUGCUAUUGUGAUUGCAGUUGCAUAAGGUUUGCACUGAUCGGUUAGCCUAAUAAGCUAACCGGAUACUGCAUUAGUAAGAACAUGAGCACGAUAUGACUAAAGGCAGACUAAUACCAUUUGAUAUAUCCUUAUUCGAUUCAAAUCAAGUAUUAGUCUUUUCUGUAUUUGUCUCGCUGACUUUUUGUCAUCCAAUGUAGAUGUUUUCUAGUUGAGGAGCACAUGGGCAAUUGAAGAGCAUAUCAAAACGAAGAGCCAGACUUAGUCCUGAGGCUGAGGCUAUUCAUUUUAUUAUUUCUGGAAGUGACAAGCCUUGUAUAAAGUCAAAUGGAUCAAUGACUAUAAAGGACGUGGUGUAUUUGCCUCAGCACCAAUUGAAAAGGGAUCCUUUGUCCUCGAGUACCGUGGGGAGUUUAUAUCGCAAUAUGAACGGGACAAGAGGCAGGGGAAGUAUACGGAAAAGCAAAAUGCUUUCUUGUUUGAUUUUGAAUGGAACAAUGGCUCAUGGUGCAUAGAUGCAUCCUGCGAAGAUGGUUCACUGGGGAGGCUGGUAAAUGAUGCCCACAGGUCCCCAAAUUGCAAAAUGAAAACGAUGAUAGUCCAAUGUAAACCUCAUCUUUGCUUGUUUGCUAUUGAAAACAUCCAAGCAGAGAGUGAAAUAACCUAUGAUUAUGGAUAAUCUCAGUGGCCAUGGCGUGCUCUGACACCAAGUGACAAGAUCCCAGCUCAACCUUCAGCAG